ACUCUAGUAUUGAGCUCAAUCCAUGUGUAUUGAGGUGGAUUGGGGUGUAACUUAAACUAAUUUACACCCCAAUCCACCUCAACACACGUGGAUUGGGGUCAAUACUAGA
rfam:Zea mays cultivar B73 chromosome 4, whole genome shotgun sequence.